rnacentral:rRNA from 1 species
GCCCUUCGGGGUACUCGAGUGGCGAACGGGUGAGUAACACGUGGGUGAUCUGCCCCUGACUUUGGGAUAAGCCUGGGAAACUGGGUCUAAUACCGGAUAUGACCAUGGGAUGCAUGUCUUGUGGUGGAAAGCUUUUGCGGUUGGGGAUGGGCCCGCGGCCUAUCAGCUUGUUGGUGGGGUAAUGGCCUACCAAGGCGACGACGGGUAGCCGACCUGAGAGGGUGAUCGGCCACACUGGGACUGAGACACGGCCCAGACUCCUACGGGAGGCAGCAGUGGGGAAUAUUGCACAAUGGGCGGAAGCCUGAUGCAGCGACGCCGCGUGAGGGAUGACGGCUUCGGGUUGUAAACCUCUUUCGCCAGGGACGAAGCGCUUGCGGU